AUUCCAGCUCUAAUAGCGUAUAUUAAAGUUGUUGCGGUUAAAAAGCUCGUAGUUGGAUCUCGGGGGGGCUCACUCGGUCCGGUGUAUAACCGCGAACUGUUAGUGCGCCCUCCUUCCGUCUGGAGGCGAUCUACUUCCCGCUUCAUUGCGGGGGUGGAUCGAAUCCAGUACCUUUACUUUGAACAAAUUAGAGUGUUUAAAGCGGGCUUUUUGCCCGAAUACAUUAGCAUGGAAUGACAAUAUAGGACUUUGGUUCUAUCUUGUUGGUUUUUAGGACCGAAGUAAUGAUUAAUAGGGACGGUUGGGGGCAUUUGUAUUCCGAUGUCAGAGGUGAAAUUCUUGGAUUUUCGGAAGACAAACUUCUGCGAAAGCAUUUGCCAAGGAUGUUUUCAUUA
rnacentral:rRNA from 1 species